AUCGGUGCCUUAGAGCCACAAGUGAUUGAGCCAUGCCGCCUAGAAAAGCUUCUAAGCGUUGAUAUUUGAGUGACCGUACCGCAAACCGACACUGGUAGGUGGGUAGAGUAUACCAAGGGGAGCGAGAGAACCUUCGUUAAGGAAUUAGGCAAAUUUCCCCCGUACGUUCGCAAUAAGGGGGGCCUUUGGCGGUGAGCUUAAUCGCAAAGCUGCUGGAGGCCGCAGAGAAAUGGCUCUUCCAACUGUUUAACAAAAACACAGGUCUCUGCUAAAUCGAAAGACGAAGUAUAGGGGCUGACGCCUGCCCAGUGCUGGAAGGUUAAGGGGAGAGGUUAGGCGCAAGCCGAAGCUUUGAGCCGAAGCCCCAGUGAACGGCGGCCGUAACGAUAACGGUCCUAAGGUAGCGAAAUUCCUUGUCGGGUAAGAUCCGACCCGCACGAAUGGCGUAAUGAGAGGAGCACUGUCUCAACGAGGGACUCGGCGAACAUUGAAGGACGUGUGAAGAUACACGUGACCCGCAGCGGGACAAAAAGACCCCGUGAAGCUUUACUACAACUUGCCAUUGAGUUAGGGCUAAACCUGUGUAGUAUAGGUGGGAGGCUUUGAAGCUGGGACGCCAGUCUCGGUGGAGCCACCGUUGAAAUACCACCCUGGUUUAUUCUUGGCUCUAACCUGUCGCCGUUAUCCGGCAUGGGAACAGUGGCUGGUGGGUAGUUUGACUGGGGCGGUCGCCUCCGAAAGCGUAACAGAGGCGCCCAAAGGUUCCCUCAGGCUGAAUGGAAACCAGCCGUUGAGUGUAAAGGCACAAGGGAGCUUGACUGCAAGACCAACAAGUCGCGCAGGGACGAAAGUCGGGCUUAGUGAUCCCACGGUUCAGAGUGGAAUGGCCGUGGCUUACCGGAUAAAAGCUACUCCGGGGAUAACAGGGUAGUCUGGUCCAAGAGUUCAUAUCGACGACCAGGUUCGCCACCUCGAUGUCGGCUCAUCACAUCCUGGGGCUGGAUAAGGUCCCAAGGGUUGGGCUGUUCGCCCAUUAAAGUGGUACGUGAGCUGGGUUCAGACCGUCGUGAGACAGGUCGGUCUCUAUCCGCUGUGGGCGUAAGGGAUUUGAGAGAAGCUGCCCCUAGUACGAGAGGACCGGGGUGGACGGACCUCUAGUGUGCCAGUUGUUCUGCCAAGAGCAUUGCUGGGUAGCUACGUCCGGCAGAGAUAACCGCUGGAAGCAUCUAAGUGGGAAACUCGUCUCAAGAUUAGAUCCCUCAUCCGUAUGGAGUAAGACCGCUAGAAGACGACUAGUUUGAUAGGCGGCAGGUGUAAGCGCAGUAAUGUGUUCAGCUUAGCCGUACUAAUGGUCGAGGGCUUACGUUA
rnacentral:rRNA from 1 species